UGUGCUGGACUCAGGCACCCAGUGUCAGGACCAGGGCCUAGGCUCUUCUCCAGAUGGCAGUCGUAGGUAGCAAACACGAGGUACAUAUUACACUUUGUAUAAGUUUAAGAAGUCUUAGUUUUGGGGGCUGAAGAGAUGGCUCAGCGGUUAAGAGCAUUGCCUGCUCUUCCAAAGGUCCUGAGUUCAAUUCCUAGCAACCACAUGGUGGCUCACAACCAUCUGUAAUGGGGUCUGGUGCCCACUUCUGGCCUGUAGGCAUACACAUAGACAGAAUAUUGUAUAAAUAAAUAAAUAAAUAAAUAUUUAAAAAAAAAAAAAAAGCUCUGGCUGUUCUUCCAGAGGACCUGGGUUCAAUUCCCAGCAACCACAUGGCAGCUCACAACUGUCUAUAAUCCCAGUUUCAGGGGAUCUGACAUCCUCACCUCACACAAAUUGCACAUAAAAAUAAAUAAAACUGUGAAAAAAGAAUAUAUUAAAGAAAUAGGAAAUCUUAGUUUUCAAAAGGCUGAGAGGAUGUGGUUCAGUGUUCCACACAGACUGACUUGAUGUAUCUCUAUUAGGUACCUCUGAGCAGACAAAGGCAGGAGUGUCAGCGGGUUGACAGGUGCCUGGUGCUACCUAGAGCUCAUACUAAUUUUCCCCUUUGCUUUAAGGCAUGCAGCUACAAAAGGCAUUCUUGUGGCUAUGGUCUGCACCUUCUUCGAGGCUUUCAACGUCCCCGUGUUCUGGCCGAUCCUGGUGAUGUACUUCAUCAUGCUUUUCUGUAUCACAAUGAAGAGGCAAAUAAAGCACAUGAUUAAAUACCGGUACAUACCAUUCACACACGGAAAGAGGAGAUACAAAGGGAAGGAGGACGUGGGCAAGACAUUUGCUAGUUAGAAGCCGGACUGAAUCUGUCACGCGUGUUCAAGGACGGUUUUGAGCCAUUGUAACAAUGCCUUUUCUUCACAUAAAGUAGUUGAUUAUGAGGAAGUGGAAUUUUCUUUUCAAGAGGAGCUUCAAUGAUUUGUAUCUGAAAUAUCAGGUUCUUGAAGAAACUGGCAUUUAAACCAAAUUGCAUUGAUUUCUUUUUCAGUGAUGUUCAUGUGUUUGAAGUGAACAGAAUUGUAGUGAACCAGAGGCUUGGGAGGCCAGGAGAGUGGCAGACCAAGAGAGGGGGAGGGAGGAUGGGAGUGUAGCCUUGCCUUCCUGACCACGCUGAGGCCGCUCCUCUGCGCCAGAGGGACAUGCCAGCCUGCUUCCUACAUGUGAAAAAGAAUGUAACCCUUUGAGGGUGACUCCCAGCAGCUUCGUGGGGUUCUCAUGCCAGUUUCUGAAUCUCACUCACUAGAGAUGGUUUUCAAGUUGGCCUCUAUGAUAAUGACUCAAAACUUUGUUCUUAACUACCAUGAUUGCUUUUGAAGGCCUGGAAUUAUAAAUAUAUAUUAUAUUUUAA